GGACGAACGCUGGCGGCGUGCUUAACACAUGCAAGUCGAACGAAGAGCGAUGGAAGCUUGCUUCUAUCAAUCUUAGUGGCGAACGGGUGAGUAACGCGUAAUCAACCUGCCCUUCAGAGGGGGACAACAGUUGGAAACGACUGCUAAUACCGCAUACGAUCUAAUCUCGGCAUCGAGGAUAGAUGAAAGGUGGCCUCUACAUGUAAGCUAUCACUGAAGGAGGGGAUUGCGUCUGAUUAGCUAGUUGGAGGGGUAGCGGCCCACCAAGGCGAUGAUCAGUAGCCGGUCUGAGAGGAUGAACGGCCACAUUGGGACUGAGACACGGCCCAGACUCCUACGGGAGGCAGCAGUGGGGAAUCUUCCGCAAUGGACGAAAGUCUGACGGAGCAACGCCGCGUGAGUGAUGACGGCCUUCGGGUUGUAAAGCUCUGUUAAUCGGGACGAAAGGCCUUCUUGCGAAUAGUGAGAAGGAUUGACGGUACCGGAAUAGAAAGCCACGGCUAACUACGUG
rnacentral:rRNA from 1 species